rnacentral:rRNA from 1 species
CCGGUGUAGCGGUGAAAUGCGUAGAUAUCGGAAGGAACACCAGUGGCGAAGGCGGCUUCCUGGCCCAAUACUGACGCUCAGGUGCGAAAGCGUGGGUAGCGAACAGGAUUAGAUACCCUGGUAGUCCACGCCGUAAACGAUGAGAACUAGAUGUCGGGAGGAUCUGCCUUUCGGUGUCGCAGCUAACGCAUUAAGUUCUCCGCCUGGGGAGUACGGUGGCAACACUAAAACUCAAAGGAAUUGACGGGGACCCGCACAAGCGGUGGAGCAUGUGGUUUAAUUCGAUGCAACGCGAAGAACCUUACCUGGUCUUGACAUCCUCGGAACUUUCCAGAGAUGGAUUGGUGCCUUCGGGAAUCGAGUGACAGGUGCUGCAUGGCUGUCGUCAGCUCGUGUCGUGAGAUGUUGGGUUAAGUCCCGCAACGAGCGCAACCCUUGUCCCUAGUUGCCAUCAUUUAGUUGGGCACUCUAGGGAGACCGCCGGUGAUAACCCGGAGGAAGGUGGGGACGACGUCAAGUCAUCAUGGCCCUUAUGACCAGGGCUACACACGUGCUACAAUGGACAGUACAGAGGGUUGCCAAGCCGCAAGGUGGAGCCAAUCCCAGAAAGCUGUUCGUAGUCCGGAUUGGAGUCUGCAACUCGACUUCAUGAAGUCGGAAUCGCUAGUAAUCGCGAAUCAGCAUUGUCGCGGUGAAUACGUUCCCGGGUCUUGUACACACCGCCCGUCACACCAUGGAAGUAGGUUGCACCAGAAGUAGGUAGUCUAACCCUCGGGGGGACGCUUACCACGGUGUGGCUUAUGACUGGGGUGAAGUCGUAACAAGGUAGCC